GUGCCGCUUUGGCAACACAUAUACUAAAAUUGAACGAUACAGAGAUUAGCGUGGCCCCUGCGCGAGGAUGAACGCAAAUGUGUGAGAGCCCCAUUUUCCU
rnacentral:snRNA from 1 species